rnacentral:rRNA from 1 species
UACGUAGGGUGCAAGCGUUAAUCGGAAUUACUGGGCGUAAAGCGUGCGCAGGCGGCUAUGCAAGACAGAUGUGAAAUCCCCGGGCUCAACCCUGGGAACUGCAUUUGUGACUGCAUGGCUAGAGUACGGUAGAGGGGGAUGGAAUUCCGCGUGUAGCAGUGAAAUGCGUAGAUAUGCGGAGGAACACCGAUGGCGAAGGCAAUCCCCUGGACCUGUACUGACGCUCAUGCACGAAAGCGUGGGGAGCAAACAGG